UGCACUGGGCCUCUAGUGUUCUAGAAAAAGAAACUGAAGCUCCGAAAUACUGAGAGACCUGCUUAGUCUCCUGCCUAGUUGUUGAAAGAGCUCACCUAUGUGAACACAGGUUUUCCAACUCUGAAUCCCACAUAUUUCUACUUGACCACACUGCUUCCUUAGCUGCUUUCUCCACCUGAUGUCUGCUGUGGUUCUAGCAUGCCAACCAGAGAGGACAGCACCCUCUGGACUUUCUUACAAGCAAUCAUUCUCCUGGAAUCAGGGAGCUGCCAAGCCAGAAAGCAUCAGGUGCUUCUACCAGCGCCACCAUCUUCCCUACAGGCCUAUUCUCCGUCUACAAAGCCAACCCAGGGAACCAAGAGGAAUUCGCAGAACCAAGUGUUUCAGAUGAAGGACCAGUCACUCACAUGCCAGAUGGGAGAGCAAGGUCAAUUUUGGGGUCAGGUAGGCCUGGUUUCAAAUUUCAGUUUGCCUCAUUCACUUGCUUUGUGACCCUGAAAUAGUCACCAAUCCUCUGUGAGAGUCACCUCCACUACGUGGGCCUCAGUUUCCUCAUCUCUAAAGUGGGAUGACUGAAGGAUCAGACAGGAUGUUGCGGCUGGUGGUCUCGAGGGCUAUGUUGGAUGAAAGCUAAGCCAAGAGGGAAAGGAGCCCAGCCCAGAGUGACUACCCUCUUCCCCGCUGCGCUCAAAACCGAGCAAAGCCAACCGGUUUCCUCCCGUGACUUAAAACAGAGCAAAGUCUAUCCUGCCACAGAAGGCGGCUGUCAUCUCUUCCUUCCGCCAACAAACCGGCAUCAAACCUACGGAGUGGGGGUGCGCAGAGAAACCCAACGCCCCACCUACUGGCUGGAAGGUGAGGCCAAGUGGCGUGGGAAUGGGCGGGCCUGACCCAGCAAGACAGGUGAAAGAGUGACCACAGCACUCUCCUUGAAAAAGGCCGACCAAAACACAGCACUAGCGAGCAGGUAGCUCUGACCCGCACCUGGACGCCCCCGGGAAGCGAAAAUUCCCCAGCAGUGAUGGUGCCCGUGCCACGGGUGAGGGCUCCCGGAGGAAGCCCGGCUGGCUCACCCUGGGGACUCGUUCUAACUUUCAAGUCACUCUCGGAUCAGGAGCGAAGCAUGGAGAGGCAGAGGGAUCUCUUGGGGAAAACCUGGCUGGUUCAAACGCCGGUGCCUUCACUUACGGGCGGAGUGACUCUGGGCAAGGCUGGCAGUGCCCACCUCCCAGGCUUCCGCAGCACUAGGGUCCCCGAGGCCCCCGGCCCCGGCGCGCAGCAGCUCCCGCCCCCGCCGCCCGGGAACCGCAGACCCCAGCAGAAGAGGGGGCAUUCUCUGUUGCCAUUUCUGUCACAGCCAGACGGCCUCGGGCUGUCACCACAGUCCCAUCACCUCAGCCGCCGAGGCCCGCCCAGAAAACCCGCACCCUCCGCCC